CUGGAGUGCAUUUUUAAUCCACACCCUCAUGAGGUUUGAGGAGCACUGGUCAAGAGUCAUCCCAGUGCCCAGAAUCAGUUCUAGGAGCAGCUGCUGUGGCUAGGACAGGGUCAUGCAUGGAGGUCAGUGGGCAGCUGGAGCCAUCUCCCAUCUGCCUUCCAGCUCAGUGCCCUGCGUUGUGCCUCCAUCACAACAAAAUAGCAGAGGGGGCCUUGAGCUGAUAGGAGACUUGAGAUGCUUGCUCUGUGCCCAAAUGGCUGUGUCCAGUCACUUAUGGCUCCAGGUACUUCACCUCUCAGGGCUGCUGUUUCCUUCUUGCAGAAUUAAGAAUUAAGACGCAGUUUGCCAAAUGUUCUCACUUAUACAUGGAAUCUAAACAAAGCCAAACUCUUAGAAGCAGAAAGUAGAAUGGUGAUGUUCAGAGGCCGGUGGGGUGAGGGUGGGGUGGAGAUGAAGAUGACACAGAUGUUCGUCAAAGGGUGCAAAAUUUCAGGUAGACAGGAGAAGUAAGUUCAAGAGAUCCAUUGUGUUAUACAACACGGUGAAUGUAGUUAACAACAAUGUAUCGUAUACUUGAAAAUAGCUCAGAGAGUAGAUUUUAAGUGUUCUUACCACAAAUAAAUGAUAAGCAUGUGAGGUAAUGCAUAGGUUAAGUAGCUUGACUUAGCUAUUCCACAAUGAAAGCAUAUAUCAAAACAUUGUGUUGCACACCAAAUAUGUAUACAUUUUUAAAAGACUAGUUGAGUACAGUAGUGAAAAAGGAGGAAAGAGUAGAACAAGGAGUUUGAUCUGUAACUGACUGUGAACAAUCCAUUGAGAGAACUCACUACCUUUGAACCAGCCUAAAUAUGCAGUUUUUAUAAUAAUAAAAAAAAAGACAAAGUGAUCAAGGUCAAUUCCCAGCUAAACUGUCUAUCACUUCUCCAAUUCCCACUCUCCAUCACCUCCAAACCGUGGGGCAUCUCACCUCAUACUGUAGGGAGAGAUGGGUCCAGAAGUCUAGUUGUGGACUGAAAACCAGUUUGCCCUCCCAGAGCUAAAGCAGAGGGUUUCCGUGCUGGCCACAUAGCUUCCUCUUGCAACUAGAGGUCUCAGCACCUUGAAGGGACAAUUCAUAAUCAGGGGGAAAAAAGACAACACAGGCCUUCCCGCUAGUCCAGUCUAAACAGAUCCUUCGUGUUUGUCUGGAAUGCUUUGCAUAGGCAGCCAUGCUGAGGGCAAGUGAGAUUAGGAUAAUCCAGAGUAUUUGCUUGUUAAGACCCUUAAACAAAACCGGAGCGCGGAAGAAAAGCCCGGUGUAAGCUGACGAGUUUGUGAGCGCAAUCUGCGGAUUUGUCGGAGGUGAUUUCGCCAGCUAAAGGGAUAAACUAGACAGCUGUGCCGAAGAGCCUUAACCUGUGAAAUAUCGUUCAAAGUACAGGCUUUGGACGCAGGGAGGGGAGGAAGUAGAGGCCUCAGCAAAGGUUGUGGCAUGGUUCUUUUGAAAUCUAUUAGAAGAAGGAAGGAAACAGGCUCAGAGAGAUUCCCACUGCAUGUGCUUAAGAGGCUGGAGUGUCUGGCUUCGCUGGAGUCAAUUGCUUAAGAAUCUGCUCUGUUGUGCUUUUUUUUCUCCACAUUCUCUCUUCACCUCCUUGUUGACCUUCCAAGAUCCCAGCUCUCCCACUUCUGCACAAAAGCAAAGACCCAUUUAUUUAUUUUGUUAAAGAAAAAGAACUGGAGAGGUUUGAUGUCGCAGGAAAUUGGAGCAUCUCUCCUUCCAGUGACAGGAUCCCAGAGGCCAUCCCUGAGCUAAUGACUCUAAGAGAAAGAAUUUCCCCUCAGUGAAGGGCCAUUAGCAAGAGCUGGUGUCCAGGUUCUCAGAAGUCACUGGGAUGCCCGUAAUUGAGCAGCCUCAGGGCCUCUGGGAAGGAGCCAGGGUCGAGGAGAUUCCUUUGCACCUGCAAAGCCAGGUUAGCUGCCCCAGGCCCCGGGCCCAGCAUUAAUAGAAUCCUCCUGGCCCACAGCAUCCCUCUUGCUCUCACUAUCCAAAGCCUGGGACAUUCUUAUGCCCUGGACUUGCUCCCAGAUGAGGAACACACUGCCAGCCAGUGACAAGCCCACAUCUCCAAGGCGUCCCCUGAGAAUCCCAGGAUGUGCUUACAUCACACAGCCUAGAGCUUGCACCAGACCAGACAGAGACUUAAGUCACUGCUCAAAAGCUCCUUUCAGGUCAGGGAGGAAAAGUCACUGGGGAGGUGAAAUGACUCUGGACUUUCUGGGAGAAAAAUGAGCAGCUGCUGAGGCAUGAGGCAAGAAGAUGAUGCCUACAGGAACCCUGGCUUGUGGUUGGUUGGGUGAAGCCGGUUCCUGUUUCAUCUGUGCCAUUAAUUGCUUGGUAAUGAAACGUAAGGCCCUAAUUUGACUGGGCUCAAUUUUCCACCUACAAAGUGAUGGUUCACGUGUUCACAGCCUCGUGUCCUGAUGAAGAUGCCACGGGUGAGUAUUCUUUGAAAACCAAGAAGAGUGAUGUAAAUGUGGUGCACUUUAUCAUGAGGUAGUUGAACUGAAGGCUCUUUAAGCUCCUUCUCUUGCACUAUGAAUAAAUGAAUUGCUUGAUUGAUUGAUUAAUCCUUACCAUUUUGAAUGUCUGAAAUGCUUGAUUCACACUUAGGAGUGACCGUUAUCGCACCUUUGAGCCAUGUUCUCAGAUUUUACCGUUAACGUUUUCAGAGACAUCAGCAAGAAUCAGAUAUCGGAUAUUGCUCCAGAUGCCUUCCAGGGCCUGAAAUCACUCACAUCGCUGGUCCUGUAUGGGAACAAGAUCACCGAGAUUGCCAAGGGACUGUUUGAUGGGCUGGUGUCCCUACAGCUGCUCCUCCUCAAUGCCAACAAGAUCAACUGCCUGCGGGUGAACACGUUUCAGGACCUGCAGAACCUCAACUUGCUCUCCCUGUAUGACAACAAGCUGCAGACCAUCAGCAAGGGGCUCUUCGCCCCUCUGCAGUCCAUCCAGACACUCCACUUAGCCCAAAACCCAUUUGUGUGCGACUGCCACUUGAAGUGGCUGGCCGACUACCUCCAGGACAACCCCAUUGAGACAAGCGGGGCCCGCUGCAGCAGCCCGCGCCGACUCGCCAACAAGCGCAUCAGCCAGAUCAAGAGCAAGAAGUUCCGCUGCUCAGGCUCCGAGGAUUACCGCAGCAGGUUCAGCAGCGAGUGCUUCAUGGACCUCGUGUGCCCCGAGAAGUGUCGCUGUGAGGGCACAAUUGUGGACUGCUCCAACCAGAAGCUGGCCCGCAUCCCAAGCCACCUUCCUGAAUAUGUCACCGACCUGCGACUGAAUGACAAUGAGGUAUCUGUUCUGGAGGCCACUGGCAUCUUCAAGAAGUUGCCCAACCUGCGGAAAAUAAAUCUGAGUAACAAUAAGAUCAAGGAGGUGCGAGAGGGAGCUUUCGAUGGAGCAGCCAGCGUGCAGGAGCUGAUGCUGACAGGGAACCAGCUGGAGACCGUGCACGGGCGUGUGUUCCGUGGCCUCAGUGGCCUCAAAACCUUGAUGCUGAGGAGUAACUUGAUCAGCUGUGUGAGUAAUGACACCUUUGCCGGCCUGAGUUCGGUGAGACUGCUGUCCCUCUAUGACAAUCGGAUCACCACCAUCACCCCUGGGGCCUUCACCACGCUUGUCUCCCUGUCCACCAUGUAAGUUCUCCUGGGUCCACUGCCCACGGACUCUGGGGUCCCACUCUGCAGCGCUGUCUCCUCCCACCUCCCUGCUACCUCUAGCCAGGCUUAUCUAUCUGUCUGUCCACUUAAAAACUCGUUAGGCUUUCUGUAUGUGCCAGGCAGGCAUCGUCUAGGUGUUGAGGCUGCACACACCCGGCCCCUCCUUCCUGGAACUCACAGCACAGUGAAUUGCCACAGAAAGCAUGUCCACAGUGAUUUGAAAACCCAAGCUGGAAGGCCAGGCAUGGUGGCUCACGCCUGUAAUCCUAGCACUUUGGGAGGCUGAGGUGGGUGGAUCACCUGAGGUGAGGAAUUCGAAACCAGCCUGACCAACAUGGUGAAACCCCUUCUCUACUAAAAAUACAAAAGUUAGCCAGUUCUGGUGGCGAGUAUCCGUAAUCCCAGCUACCUGGGAGACUGAGGCAGGACAGUUGCUGGAACCCGGGAGGCGGAGGCUGCAGUGAGCUGAGAUCAUGCCACUGCAUUCCAGCCUAGGUGACAGAGCAAGAUUCCAUGUCAAAAAAAAAA
rnacentral:sRNA from 1 species